UAAAAGCAGCUUCCGUCAUGCGCUCGAUGUUGUGUUGUGUCUUCAAGUUCUUCCGGUAAAGUUUUUGUUCGUGCAUACUCAAGAUGCAGUUUUUAAAUUGGUUUAUUUAGCUCAUACUGAAGAAAUUUAUUUUUUGUUCCAAGUCGUAUUGCUAAAAUGGUUAUCCAAGAUUUGCAAGCGUUUUUAGAAAGCCCAAAUUUAGAAGGGGGUGCAGUUUCUGUUGAUUUGUUGAAAAUAGCCCGAAAUGUCACGCAACGUCAACAACCCCAGUACCCUACCCGUAAAAUUAGGCCUAUUGGUAACAAACUUAAGCUUAUCAUGGAUGCAGAAUGUUGUUUAGAUAGACUUUAUGGUGGAUUCUUCUCUGAUUGGGCCUGUGGUGGCCAGUGGAAUCGAAUGGUUCAAUUUUUAUCAUUACUUAUGCAAGCAAUAGAAAGAGGAAAUAUUGAAUUAGCAAUCGUUUUUAAUGGAACAUCUGAACCACAACGCUUCUCAGAAUGGACAGCAGAGCAGGCCAAUAUAAGACAGAAAGUUGGAUUAGUUCUAAAACAUGUAAACAUGAAAGGCACACCACCACCGAAAAUUUGGUGGACUCCACCAACCUGUUUAAGGACAUCCUUGCGCAUGGCUCUUCGUCAUUUAAAUGCAGCUGUGAUGUGUACAAUGGACGAUCAUCAUCAGGAGGUGAUAGCGUAUUGUCGUGAGUACGGUUUUCAUGGUUUAUUGGCUGAUAAUGCAGAAUAUGCAGCUUUUGAUCCACCACGGUAUUUUUCUUCUGAACAUCUAAAACUUACUUAUAAAGGAUCACUUGAGACUAAGGAAUACAUGAUUGGGGAGCUUACAAAAGCUCUGGAACUUACUACAGAACAGGUUUGUGUUUUGGCAGCAAUUUUGGGCAACUUUUUACUACCUGAAGUUCAAAUGCAAGAUAUUUACAGGAAGAUAUUGGAAGCCACCGGAUCUAAAGAGGCGAAGUUGAGUGGCGAGACAGGGUUGAAGUCGAUCGCGGAAUUUGUCAGGACACUUUCACCUCCUUCGAACAUGGAUUCCUUGGUGGUGCAGUUAUUUGGGAGCGCCGACGACAAACGUGUUCCCGCUUUUAGACAAUCUGUACAGUAUUACCUAAACGGCACCGCUAACGGAUUCCUAAAAUAUUGCAGUGCUUCCGUGUUUAACUUUUUUAUAGCAAAUGGGAGAAAGGAUAAUUUGAAAGGGAACAAGAAGGGUAAUCAGAAUAAUAAUAAUAAUAUUAACAACGUUUCGAAUUCCAUUUCGAAAGGCGACGAGCCCGAAUUUGAUACGUCAGGGUUUGCUUCAGAAACCACUGAACAAGAGAUUGAAAGUCUUCAAAACUAUAAGCUGGCGACUGCAAACGCAGUAAUGUCGUCAGAUAUAAUGGUUGGUUUGCAGGAGAUGGAUUUGAAUUCGAUAAAGGGGGGAGAGUCGUCGCCUCUGUCGUCGGACAAUUCGCGUCUAAACGGUCACUCGGAAGUUUCCUUCAACAGUGCAGGAAGUGCAGCCACAUCUAACAACUUGACCAGUGCAAGUUCAGUCACCACCCGUAUCAAUCUCUUAGUUAGCUCCACUAGUUCCAACACCAGCAGUGUUCCCACGUCACCCAAACAUGGGGAACAGAAACAACAACAAUCAGUAAAUCCGAAUCCAGUGAAACCGACGGUAUCAUUGGACGUUCUGCGAACGGCUUCGUUACGACAUCAGAAGGGACUGAUGGCUCCACUCAUUCUCCACGUCCUGAGCACCCAGGAAGUUCGAUUACCCUGUCUCAUGGAGGACGAAAAUUAUCGUGAGUUCCCGCCGAUCCACGAGAUUUAUAGGCCGUUACGUCAACGUGUCUACGCUGUUCUAUUCAAUCUACACCACCUUCGUUAUGUACACAGCAAAAAGAAAGAAGCGGGUGAGGUGGCCGACAACAGUCCCCAGCCGGACAUCAUAGUGAAAGAGUGGGUUUAUAGUCGUGCUAAUCCUUACCAGCAUGCGGAACAGGUGAAAGCGGAUCCCUUACCGUGGGCGGUACCGACGUUAAAUCGCCUUUGGUUCGGUCCUUCACUUGACGACAAAAGGAGGCGAAUGCGUGCACUCCUGUCCUGUCUAAAUUCUGACACCCCCCUCAUUCUGAACACUUCGUAUGUGCCUCAACACAUGCUCGUGAUGGCUUGCGUGCUCCGUUACAUCAUGUCACAGGGGUGGGCAAUACUACGACGCCAAGAACUAGACGCUUUCAUCGCAGCCGCCUUCAGUCCUGAUCUCAUGAACGCCCAGUAUUUACAAGAUUUAACGUUGACAAUGGUGACGAGUCGCGGGGUCCAAUUGGCCGCGAUAUUCAUGGAGGGCGUGGAGAUGGCACUUUUGGCGAACGACGCGUGCGGCGCCCCCUUGCCGUGGCUUAUGUGUUGCCCUUGGCUAUAUUUCGACGGUAAACUGUUCCAUCAUACUCUCGCCCGUACUAUGCAUUCCAAGAACUUGCUCGAACUCUGCGAGAAUCAUAUCGAAUGGGUUGUAAAAGUAGAACGUAUGCGAAAGGCCGUGCUCGAAGGUCUCGACGUUCAAUUUGCCAAAUUACCCUUGCCGCCGUUUACAGGAUUGUUGCGCCAGGGAAUGCCCCCACCAUGUAAUUUGCCGACAGUACCGUUGCCGUCAACCAGGGGGGCUGCAGGAUUGAGGCAGAGGCCGAUACCGUCCCGAGGAGGACAGUUGCAAGUAGCGGGAGUAGUGGUUGGAUCGUGGGGAGCCAACUACGGUUAUAUGAGGCAACAGCCCCAAGUAACUGGUGGUCGGGGACGCGGUUUCAGUCCCCACUAUAACCAGGGACAGAAUCGAAAACCGGGACCUCCCACCUACAAUGUCAACAAGAAAAAUAACGAAGAAAGCCAAGAGUAAUCAGCAAAGGCAACAGGCGACCGCACCAAAAGGUCGGGGAAUGACGGUUAAAACGAACAAGGGGGACGUUCUUGCGACUGAUCUUCUCAAGAACGAGACCAUCUUCUCGCCGGAGGAGGUCGCUUUUGAGGACUGCAAGUCAGCGACCGCGUCCCG
rnacentral:misc_RNA from 1 species